rnacentral:rRNA from 1 species
AAACAACUCUCAGCAACGGAUAUCUUGGCUCUUGCAACGAUGAAGAACGCAGCGAAAUGCGAUACGUAGUGUGAAUUGCAGAAUUNCGNGANUCAUCGAGUUUUUGWACGCAAGUUGCGCCCGAGGCUUGUCCGAGGGCAUUUCCGCUAGAGCGUCAAC